rnacentral:rRNA from 1 species
AGAGUUUGAUCCUGGCUCAGGAUGAACGCUAGCUACAGGCUUAACACAUGCAAGUCGAGGGGAAACGAUAGAGAAAGCUUGCUUUUUCUAGGCGUCGACCGGCGCACGGGUGAGUAACGCGUAUCCAACCUGCCCACCACUUGGGGAUAACCUUGCGAAAGUAAGACUAAUACCCAAUGAUAUCUCAAGAAGACAUCUGAAUGAGAUUAAAGAUUUAUCGGUGAUGGAUGGGGAUGCGUCUGAUUAGCUUGUUGGCGGGGUAACGGCCCACCAAGGCGACGAUCAGUAGGGGUUCUGAGAGGAAGGUCCCCCACAUUGGAACUGAGACACGGUCCAAACUUCUACGGGGGAGCAGCAGUGAGGAAUAUUGGUCAAUGGGCGAGAGCCUGAACCAGCCAAGUAGCGUGCAGGAUGACGGCCCUAUGGGUUGUAAACUGCUUUUAUAAGGGAAUAAAGUGAGCCUCGUGAGGCUUUUUUGCAUGUACCUUAUGAAUAAGGACCGGCUAAUUCCGUGCCAGCAGCCGCGGUAAUACGGAAGGUCCGGGCGUUAUCCGGAUUUAUUGGGUUUAAAGGGAGCGUAGGCCGGAGAUUAAGCGUGUUGUGAAAUGUAGAUGCUCAACAUCUGCACUGCAGCGCGAACUGGUUUCCUUGAGUACGCACAAAGUGGGCGGAAUUCGUGGUGUAGCGGUGAAAUGCUUAGAUAUCACGAAGAACUCCGAUUGCGAAGGCAGCUCACUGGAGCGCAACUGACGCUGAAGCUCGAAAGUGCGGGUAUCGAACAGGAUUAGAUACCCUGGUAGUCCGCACGGUAAACGAUGGAUGCCCGCUGUUGGUCUGAAUAGGUCAGCGGCCAAGCGAAAGCAUUAAGCAUCCCACCUGGGGAGUACGCCGGCAACGGUGAAACUCAAAUGAAUUGACGG